AUGGAUGACGGAGGUGAUCGAAGCACCCUGCACCACGAGUCUGCUUCAUCUCCUCCUUUCCUUCGCGCGCCUGAGCUCCUCGUUGUAUGCCGCCCGGGAGGGCUCGCGCUCGUCGCUCUACCAGAGCCACCACCGGCCGGUCGUCGCUGCACUUUCCCGCGACCUCUCCGCCCCCUCUGCACCACCCUCCACCUCAAUUUAGACGCACAUGUGUUUGUGGAUGUCCUCAGUUAUUGUUUGCACACAAGGUGUUUGUGUGUUUGUCCUAGCCAGUUUCAGUCACAGAUCCUUGAGAGACAAUUAGAUUUUGGAAGCAGGAAUCCUUUCCUCAUAAGAUGGAUGAGCUGUAGGAUUUGA
rnacentral:rRNA from 1 species